rnacentral:rRNA from 2 species
GGAUGCGAUCAUACCAGCACUAAAGCACCGUAUCCCAUCAGAACUCCGAAGUUAAGCGUGCUUGGGCGAGAGUAGUACUAGGAUGGGUGACCUCCUGGGAAGUCCUCGUGUUGCAUUCC